AUAAAAUAAAAUUGGAACGAUACAGAGAAGAUUAGGAUGGCCCCUGCACUAGGAUGAAACCAAAUUGGUGAAGGGUUCCAUAUUUUA
rnacentral:snRNA from 1 species